rnacentral:rRNA from 1 species
AACGAACGCUGGCGGCAUGCCUAACACAUGCAAGUCGAACGAGACCUUCGGGUCUAGUGGCGCACGGGUGCGUAACGCGUGGGAACCUGCCCUUAGGUUCGGAAUAACUCCCCGAAAGGGGUGCUAAUACCGGAUAAUGUCUUCGGACCAAAGAUUUAUCGCCUUUGGAUGGGCCCGCGUUGGAUUAGCUAGUUGGUAGGGUAAAAGCCUACCAAGGCGACGAUCCAUAGCUGGUCUGAGAGGAUGAUCAGCCACACUGGGACUGAGACACGGCCCAGACUCCUACGGGAGGAAGCAGUGGGGAAUAUUGGACAAUGGGCGAAAGCCUGAUCCAGCAAUGCCGAGUGAGUGAUGAAGGCCUUAGGGUUGUAAAGCUCUUUUACCCGGGAUGAUAAUGACAGUACCGGGAGAAUAAGCUCCGGCUAACUCCGUG